rnacentral:lncRNA from 1 species
GUGCUCACGCGCCGGCGCGUGGUGCGCGUGAGUCGGAUCUACCUUGAUAAAUCUGGCGCGUGAGGGCGCGUGAAGGGCAGUUUUCCGGUGGAGUUUGCUAAGGUUUGGUCGGAUCUCUCUUGGGAACCUUGUGGUGGUGUUGGUCUUUGCACAACACUGAUAAUUAGUGGCUUUGACGCAAUUAGUCACUUUGGUCUCCGGAAAAUUGCACGGUGACCGAGUUAUUUCUUCCCGGAUGUUGUUGGAAUGACGCACAACGAUAAUUAUCUCACCAAAGCUCUGAUACCAUGUGAGAAAGCACGGGAGAAGAAUAUAACUGAGANN